ACGCUCGACACCUACGGGGGCAGCAGUGGGGAAUAUUGCACAAUGGGGGAAACCCUGAUGCAGCGACGCCGCGUGGAGGAAGAAGGUCUUCGGAUUGUAAACUCCUGUUGUUGGGGAAAAAGAGGAUGGUACCCAACAAGGAAGUGACGGCUAACUACGUGCCGNGCNCGCGACGUAUNGNGGCGGNGNGAGAGC
rnacentral:rRNA from 1 species